UACCCUGAACGGUGGAUCAC
rnacentral:rRNA from 2 species